CUGCCAGACUCCUACGGGAGGCAGCAGUGAGGAAUAUUGUUCAAUGGGCGGGAGCCUGAACCAGCCAAGCCGCGUGAAGGAAGAAGGCGCCAGGCGUCGUAAACUUCUUUUGUCGGGGAACAAAGGGCGCCACGUGUGGCGUUGUGAGUGUACCCGAAGAAAAAGCAUCGGCUAACUCCGUGCCAGCAGCCGCGGUAAUACGGAGGAUGCGAGCGUUAUCCGGAUUUAUUGGGUUUAAAGGGUGCGCAGGCGGCCUGUUAAGUCAGCGGUAAAAAUUCGGGGCUCAACCCCGUCGUGCCGUUGAAACUGAUGUUCUUGAGUGGGCGAGAAGUAUGCGGAAUGCGUGGUGUAGCGGUGAAAUGCAUAGAUAUAACGCAGAACUCCGAUUGCGAAGGCAGCAUACCGGCGCCCAACUGACGCUGAAGCACGAAAGCGUGGGUAUCGAACAGGAUUAGAUACCCUGGUACUA
rnacentral:rRNA from 1 species